GGCACAGGGCGCAUCCGCCUCAGCGCUAUAUGUGCACGUGUGUGUGAUGCAGCAGAUCACGCAUCUGCGGCAUCAGAAUUGGCAGAGGCUGGAUCCAGAAGUUGGCGUGAAUGGUGACUGGCGCGACUCUGGUCCGGCCGCCCACGUUGCUUCUACCUGGAGAUCUGGGGAUUGGCACUGGUCCGGCCAAUCAGGGUGCGUUGACCAGUGGAAAUGGCCGCAAAUGAGUGCGGAUUGGCUGCAUCCGAGUGGCUGCUGGUCCGGCCACCCAGGAUGCACUGUCGAUGUAGAUGGAGAUGGAGCGCUGGCCAGAGUCGUCUGUAUUGGCUGGCCUCGUCGUUGGAUUGCUGCUGCUGUUUUGUGAUGAUGAUGGCGUGACGUCACGGCCAUCGGUUGACGGCAGCGUAAUCGGAGAGGCGUCCAAAUUGGGCCCAACUUGCAACACAAUGUUGCGGUUGGUGGCGAGGCAGGUACUGGAGAGGCUGAUCUGUGAGUGUACUGUCAGCGGCAGCCUGUGGUCUGGAUGUUGUUGGCGACGGCGAUAGGGCCUUCAAAUUUCGCCCAUUUGGCAGAAAGUGGAUGGUGAAUUUGGUGUGGCAACUGCUGGAGAGGCAGCUCUAUCGGAGGCGUGGCAGUGGCUGCUCUGGACCUGUGCGGUGGAUUGUCAGGAGCGUCGUCAAUAAACCCUAAAAUGUCGUCCAAUUGGCAUCAAAUGUGUGGUGUUGAUGACGGGGCAGCUGCUGGAGGGGUAGAUCUGUCGGAGGCGUGGCAGUGGUUGCUCUGGACCUGGGCGGUGAAUUGUCAGGAGAGUCGUCAAUAUAUUCUAAGAAUGUCGUCAAAUUAGCAGCAAAAGUUUGGUCUAUUUGUCGUGGCAUCUGCUGGUGGGGCAGCUCUGUCGAUGGCGUGUCAGGUGAGGACGUAUUGGUCAUUUUUCGUGGUUAUGUGAGUUAAUGUUUUCCAUCUGUUUUUAGUGGCUGCCUCA